GUAAAUAGGGGCCAGCGUCGGGUGUAAUACGUAUGUGGCGAGCGUUAUCCGGAAUUAUUGGGCAUAAAUGGCAUCUGGUCGGCUGAUUAAGGCUGAGGUGAAAACUUUCGGCUCAACCGAGAGCCGGCCUUGGAAACUAAUGCAGCUGGAGUACUGGAGAGGUGGACGGAACUACACGAGUAGAGGUGAAAUUCGUAGAUAUGUGUAGGAAUGCCGAUGAUGAAGAUAGUCCACUGGACAGCUACUGACGCUGAAGUGCGAAAGCUAGGGGAGCGAACAGGAUUAGAUACCCUUGUAGUC
rnacentral:rRNA from 1 species